rnacentral:rRNA from 1 species
UACACACGGAUAACAUACCGAAAGGUAUGCUAAUACGGGAUAAUAUAUUUGAGAGGCAUCUCUUAAAUAUCAAAGGUGAGCCAGUACAGGAUGGACCCGCGUCUGAUUAGCUAGUUGGUAAGGUAACGGCUUACCAAGGCGACGAUCAGUAGCCGACCUGAGAGGGUGAUCGGCCACAUUGGAACUGAGACACGGUCCAAACUCCUACGGGAGGCAGCAGUGGGGAAUAUUGCACAAUGGGCGAAAGCCUGAUGCAGCAACGCCGCGUGAGUGAUGAAGGCCUUCGGGUCGUAAAACUCUGUCCUCAAGGAAGAUAAUGACGGUACUUGAGGAGGAAGCCCCGGCUAACUACGUGCCAGCAGCCGCGGUAAUACGUAGGGGGCUAGCGUUAUCCGGAUUUACUGGGCGUAAAGGGUGCGUAGGCGGUCUUUCAAGUCAGGAGUGAAAGGCUACGGCUCAACCGUAGUAAGCUCUUGAAACUGGGAGACUUGAGUGCAGGAGAGGAGAGUGGAAUUCCUAGUGUAGCGGUGAAAUGCGUAGAUAUUAGGAGGAACACCAGUUGCGAAGGCGGCUCUCUGGACUGUAACUGACGCUGAGGCACGAAAGCGUGGGGAGCAAACAGGAUUAGAUACCCUGGUAGUCCACGCUGUAAACGAUGAGUACUAGGUGUCGGGGGUUACCCCCCUCGGUGCCGCAG